GCUUAAAGAGGGGUUAAUGUCCUAUCAGCUAGUUGGUGGGGUAAUGGCCUACCAAGGCAAAGACGGGUAGCCGGCUUGAGAGGGUGGUCGGCCACACUGGGACUGAGACACUGCCCAGACUCCUACGGGAGGCUGCAGUCGAGAAUCUUUCGCAAUGCCCGAAAGGGUGACGAAGCGACGCCGCGUGUGGGAAGAAGGCCUUCGGGUUGUAAACCACUGUCGGGAGUUAGGAAAUGCAGGGGCGUUAAUAGCGCGCUUGCUUGACUAAGGCUCCAGAGGAAGCCACGGCUAACUCUGUGCCAGCAGCCGCGGUAAUACAGAGGCGGCAAGCGUUGUUCGGAGUUAUUGGGCGUAAAGAGCACGUAGGCGGCCUUGCAAGUCAGUUGUGAAAGCCUUCCGCUUAACGGAAGAACGGCAUCUGAUACUACAGGGCUUGAGUACGGGAGGG
rnacentral:rRNA from 1 species